rnacentral:rRNA from 1 species
GGAGUUUGGUCCGUGUCUCAGUACCAAUGUGGGGGACCUUCCUCUCAGAACCCCUACUGAUCGUCGGUUUGGUGCGCCUUUACCACACCAACUGCCUAAUCGGACGCAGGCUCCUCGCAAAGCGAUAAAUCUUUAGUACAAGCCCCAUGCGAAGCCCGUACAACAUCCGGUAUUAGCGUCCCUUUCGGAACGUUGUCCCCGACUUUGCGGCAGAUUACCUGCGCUUUACUCACCCGUUCGCCACUAAACCCGAAGGUUCCGUUCGACUUGCAUGUGUUAAGCACGCCGCCAGCGUUCGUCCUCGAGCCAUGAUCAAACUACU